UACGAAGGGGGCAAGCGUUGUUCGGAAUUACUGGGCGUAAAGGGCUCGUAGGCGGCCAACUAAGUCGGAUGUGAAAUCCCCAAGCUUAACUUGGGAACUGCAUCCGAUACUGGAUGGCUUGAAUCCGGGAGAGGGAUGCAGAAUUCCAGGUGUAGCGGUGAAAUGCGUAGAUAUCUGGAGGAAUACCGGUGGCGAAGGCGGCAUCCUGGACCGGCAUGACGCUGAGGAGCGAAAAGCUAGGGGGACAAAACGGGGAUUAAGAAAACCCCCUGU
rnacentral:rRNA from 1 species